GGGUCACAUCACAUUGAAACAUUGGUUCCCGUACGAUCACCGAAGUUAAGCAACGCCGAGCCUGUUAGUACCUAGAUGGGUGAACGUUUGGGAAUACGAGGUGCUG